rnacentral:rRNA from 1 species
UACGGGGGGGGCAAGCGUUGUUCGGAAUUACUGGGCGUAAAGGGUUAGUAGGUGGCCAACUAAGUCAGACGUGAAAUCCCUCAGCUUAACUGGGGAACUGCGUCUGAGACUGAUUGGCUCGAGGACAGGAGAGGAACGCGGAAUUCCAGGUGUAGCGGUGAAAUGCGUAGAUAUCUGGAGGAACACCGGUGGCGAAGGCGGCAUCCUGGACCAAUACUGACACUGAGGAGCGAAAGCCAGGGGAGCAAACGGG